GAUUCAGAAUUACUAUUCAUCUUAAAUUAAUGAUAAUGAUGUAAAUCUGUUAUAAACCAAACAUUGUUUUCUUCAACUGCUGGUGAAGAAAUGACAUGUAGGAAUUACCUUUUUUAAUGUGAUGGUCAUAGAAAUAUUGUCUGGGUUCGGAAAUUGUGGUGUAAAAGAAUAAUGCCAACAUUAGCGUAAAUACUCUGUCCACAUUAUGCAUUUAAGACUCAAGGAAUAUUUAGUUAUCAUUAAAAAAAAUUUUUAUUACUCACAGAGAUUAGGCUUGGUCUACAUGUUUUUUGGAAAAUUAUUGAAUCCUCUGUAGAUGUCUUCAGCGUGUUUCUGCGCUCACUGAUGCUGCGUCAUUAUUCACUCAUUAUUCUCAUUAUAAACAUGGUUAAAACUGUUCCACACCUCAGAGUUUGCUUUAGUUGCUGGUUUCUCGCGCUAUAAUCGAAACACAUCACAUGACCUCUCGUUAACCUCGCAAACCGGAGCGCAAGCCCGAGCCCGCGUAAGAUGUUCGGGCAAAGAUCUUCAGCUCUAACCCUUUGGUGUACAACAGCUGGUCACUGGAGCAGGACCCUUAAAAAGACAUAUUUGUUCCUUUUUUACCCCGAAGGGUACGAAUAACUACCGUUAAUGUACUAAUAUGUAUGAUAGUGGCACGCUGUCCGGCUGUUGUGGCCCAAACAAGGUAUAAUGUCGUCCUGGAUGAGUGAGAGAUUCCCCGGUGUGAAACUGUGUCUCAGUCCGGUCUCGGGCUGGAGUGUGUGCGGUGAGCUCCAGCGCAGCGUUAGCGAGCUCUGUGACGUCAGCUUGCUGUGUCCCGAAACUAAAGAUAGUGACAUUAAUCUCGGGACACACUAAAUAGUUGAACUAACCCCCCACUAUCACCCCACGCAGCUCAGAGCAUCACUCUCAGUGUGCGUUCACACCACCGGCGUCGAGUAAAAGUAAAAGUCUUGCAUUGAAAAUGCUACUUAGGUAAAUAUAAUCAAGUAUAAACAUUACUUAAUGUAAGUAUAAUCAGGGAAAUGUGUUUAAAAGUUAACUGGGACUACAGUACUGUUAUUAUAUCAUUAGAUUAUUAUUCCUAUAACGUUACUGCACAUCAGCAACUCACCAGGAAAAUGAACAAUCUCAGACACCUUGGUCCACGUAUCACUUUUCAUUUAUUUUUUAUUUCCCUGUACGCAAACAGGGAAACAUCAUAUAUUAUGCUGCGUUCUCUGGAAUCCUCUCAAGCGGUGGACUUCUACGUUCCGAUUGGUUGCUGCCCAACCGCGUCAUAGCUCAUUUCCAUAAAGUUGCCUUGAUUUCAACUCUCUUCGACGCUCCUCGCCGCUGCUCGACGUCGGCUCACAUUGAAAAUGAAUUACUUCCGGCCACGUUGACGCUCUCGACGCCGGCGGUGUGAUUCGUGUGAACGCACAGUCAGUCUGUGUGACGCGUUCCGAAGCUCCUUCAUUAACAGACAGAUGCAUCACAAUCACAUCACAGUCAGAGGAUGAUUCUCUCAGUUACUAGUCUGUAGAUUGUGUCUGUGUUUCUCUCACUGAUGAUUCGCUCUCGGUCUUCAAAUGAUUGUACCCGAUCAGAUCUAAUAUAAAUAACACCAAAUUUGCUGUUGUCAGUACUUUGUAGAAUAUAAUACACGAUGCAUGAUCAUAUUACACAGGUGUUUCAAAUGUUAUUUUAAACAUAUUCUUAGUGAUAUUAUUAUUGUUGUCCAUAUAAUAAAGAGUGUGACUCUUCCCGGGAUCAUCGACUGGCCCUCAGAGAGAAACCAGACAUUAGUUCAUUGUCAGUUGUUUUGCUGGUGAGAUAACAUCGCUAUUUAUAAGUUUUGGUAUAUAAAUAAAUAUUAUCAAUUAUUAUUUGUCAUUUGAUGCAUUCUGUUUGAUAGGAUUUUAAUGACCAAUGCAUGCCAUAUGAAUGUGAGUCAGUAAUGAUCAUAGACCAGUUUCAGAAACUGUAUGUUUUGUUCAUGUUUGUUGAACAAGCCAAUGAUUACUGUACUAAAUUCUUUUUGGUUUGUAAAAGUAGUCUCGUCGACGUGCGUGUGACGUAAAUCUGCGCGUGACGUAGCUGUGCGCGUGCACAGCGCUGACUGCAGUCUGUCAGAGCGGUUCAAGUUUACUUUCGGUUUCGUUUCUCUGCCGCUAUUUCAAAGAGUGAUACAUGUGCGUGCAUGAACGAAAGACUAAAGCACAUUGGCCACCUCUGUUCAUGUAAGAAGUGUAUAAUGCUGGAUGAUGUAGAGUCACAUCCUGAAGAUAUAAAGCACUGAACAGCCAUCUGUCUCCUGUCUCACUUCUUGCUGGAGCUCCGUAGUGGACAAGCUGCAGAGAACAGAUUCCUUCUACAACAACACAAACAUAUUUACAGUCCAUCCAGUCAGACUCUUUAGAUAUGAUCGAGUAGGAUAUUUCACAACGAGAAUAACUCCAUAGCGCCAUCUAGCGUCAAGUUAAUGAUAGGGUUUUUCAUCGCUCCGUGUGAGACGGAAUCGUCCCGUGAUUAAAGCAUCAGAGAGUCCCGCGUGAGCGCAGACUGCACCGUGUUCACAGACAUGUACCGGAUGAAGAACACAUUCUCAACACACGAUUCAUCAUCCGCUUUACACACAUUAUUGAUUUAUUCGUGAACUCAGCCGUUAGUUUGAGGAAGGUUUAUAAGCUGAAAUCCUCUUCCUGCUGCUCGCGCGUCACGAGCGCGGUUUGAUUUCACCAAAUAAAUAUAUGCGAUCACACACAACUUAUUGAUAAUGUGCUCAACAUCGAGCAAGCCAGGCAAACACUGAAUCUUUGCUUCGCAGAUUAGAAUUGUGCGGUAGAUGCGUAUCAUAUUCACGCCAAAGUCUAUUUUUGCGUAUCAAUACCACGAGUUUUUGUUUUAUUUGCAGUAGCUACUAUUUAUACACAUUUUCAUGAGACCGGGAUCUUCAAAAAAGAUGCAUUUUCAUUCAUUCAUAGGAUAUAUGGUUGCAUUAAAAUUUUAGUUCGAAAAUGUCAGACUUGUAUACUGAGGCUUUAAUGACAUUAUUUUAAUAUAGUCAGUUAUGAUCUAAAGUGGGCCGGUCUAAUGCAGCAAAGCACACAGAAACACUUCAUUCAUUCUGACAGAGGCCUGCAAUCUUCUAUCAUCUUGUGUCCAAGCAGCUUUUCAGAAGUGAGGGGGACAGAAAUUACAAUACAACAUUAUAUAUAUCUGAGUCCCUUAAAUGUCCUCAGUAUAUAUAUGUCCUCGAUUUUUAAUGUUUUUAAAGAAGCCUCGUCUGCAUCUUGUUUCCUUCCGGAGCAUCAGUGAAUGUUUGAAUCUUUUUAAAUAGUUGUGUUUGAGUCCCUCAAAUGUCCUCAGUCUGAUAAGAUGCAUCUCAAAAUCAUAAAGUCACUGCUGGAAAGGGUUCAAAUAUGCAAAGAUGUUGGAAAACUGAAGAAUCUGCAGGAGCUUAAAGAUGUUUCUGAAGAACGCUGCUCAGUUUAACUGUUCAGAACAAACAAGGGACUCAUGAACCAUCACAAAACAGAAAGAC